GAACUGGCGCUCAACACUGUGUACAACAUCGUGCUCUUCACAAACGCAGCCAGUGACGUCAUCCUCAUAUUCAGCAUUUAUUUUAAAGAGUGCACGCAUGCAGAUUCCGAAGGUCGCAGUAUCAUCGGAAUAUUGAAAAUGUUCAUCGCCUGGAACGCCGUCACCAUCUUCCUCUGCUGGAUCGCUGCGUGCAUUCAAGUUCAUUACAGGUACAGCCAGGUGAGUACAUGUUAUGU